rnacentral:lncRNA from 1 species
GCUUUGCUUUUUUUUUUUUUUUUUUUUUUUUAAGAAAAAGGUUUUCUAGUUUCUUCUACAUUAAAAAUAAUCCCUCCUUCUCAUAAAGCACAAUUUUACAGAGGAAAAGGGAGAUGUGAAACUAUACACAAUUCAAAUCUAAUUAAUAUAUAAUUUUUUUGUGGAAUACAGAUGGAGGGAAUACAUCACAAUACUAAAGGUGAUUAUCUUUGGAUGGUGGGAUUACAGGUGAUUAUAUAUUUUUUAUAUUUCUAUAGUUUAAAAAUAUUCCAUGAUGACCUAUAAUUACUUUUACUUAUUUUUUGAGACAAAAUCUCACCCUGUUGACCAAGGCUGGAGCGCAGUGGUGCAAUCUCGGCUUAGUGCAAUCUCGGUGUAGUCUCGACCUCACAGGCUCAAGUGAUCCUCCCACCUCAGCCUCCGGAGAAGCUGGGACUACAGCUCUUUGCCCAGCUUCCAGUGACUCCUCUGUGCCUGGAGAGAAGGGCAAGCGCCUUACUCAUGCCUUGAGGUUGCUGACCACUUCCGUCACCAGCCUCGCUCCUUCCAGACCUGCCCUGGGAGUCCCUGCCUCCUGGCCUUCACCUGCAUCACGGUCUGCACUUCUCAGAGCCCUGCCCUUCCUUGAAGAACAAAGCCUGGCCAAAUUGUGUCAGCCUUCUGGCCUGCAGUGACCCCUGCUUACAUCGUACAUAACAAUAGCUAUAACUUAUUGACAUUAACUUCAGGUCACAUAGCAAAAGUGCUCUCAUUUAAAUCUUAGGCCACCAGAGGAUCCAUAGACUAAAAUGUUAACAGCAUCUCCUGGAGUUGUGGAGUGUGGUGACCCUAUGUGAUCCUCCUGUGCCACUGAGAGAUAUAUUAUUAACCCAGUUUCACUGAUAAGAUAACUGAGGCUCAGAGAGGUCAAGUAACUUGCCCAUGGUCACACAGUGGGUCCAUGGCAGAGCUGGGAGGUGAUCCCUAGUCAGUUCCCUCCAAGUCCAGGAUUUUCUCACUCCCACAAUGGUGUCUCCCUUAAUGACUCUCACAUUCCAGCCUCUGAGGGCAGGAAGGGUAUGUUCUGAGUUGAACACACAGAGAGCACUCAAUGAUGUCUGGUGGUGAAGAUGUUAAUCAUGAGCUCAAUCAAGGUUUAUCAUUAAAUCAACAAGUCUUCCUAGUGUGUCUGGGAGCUCUGGGGCCCAGGGACAGGCCUACUGUAGUUCAGUGUUGUAUUCUGGCACCUGGUGGUUUCUGGCACAUAGCCCAUGUUCAUUAAAUGACAUGAAUUGAUUGUCCAUUCAAAUAAUAAAACAAUAAAUAAAUAAUACUAGCUAACAGGUAUGGAGUGCCUACAAGCCAGCCACCUCAGGGAGUUUCCAGGACAGUUGAGGAGAAACAUAACACUGUUGACAAGAGCUACAACGUAGGGUUUUACACCAAAACAGUGUCUACGUAAACAGUGUCUAUCAAAGAGAGAAAAAUGAUGGGCAGACACCCUGAUCCUUCCCACAGUGCUAAAGGCCAUGCCAGCCACUGUCCCCAUUACGACUUGCAUAUACUGACUGCCGAAGCACACAAACCUGAAUUUUCCGUCUGCAUCCAUCGUUCUGUCUGUUCGGAUCACAUCUGGAUACUACUGUUGCCUCUCCAGACUGGAUAACCAGUCUGCUGAGGGCCAGAAGAUGGUGAGAUGGAAACUAGUCAUGUUUACUUGGAGAAGAGAAAUGAAGACCGUCUUUAACACCUGACAGGUUGCUCUUCCCAAGAGGGGCCAGAGGGCAACAGCCAUGGUCAACAGCUCCAGGCACCCCUGAGGAAGCCUGCUCCAGCUGGCAGGGCUGUCUGGCAAGGGACCAGUCCCUCCUCUGGAGAAGUGGUGAGCCCAGUGGGCUGCCUCUCCAGCAGGAUCCUGUAGAGACCUUACUCUCUACAAUGCACACUCCACACACUUGCUCACUUGACAAACACUUAUUAUAACUGUCACCCUGGGCCCAUUCCAGGUUAGGGACAUAAGGAUGAAUAAAACAAGGUCUGUACCAGUAGAGAACAUCAGUCCUCUAGGGGAGAAAGUCAGGAAAGCCUCAUCCUGAGCCUUCGACUCCUUACUGUCCAUCCUCUAGGCUCCUGUCUCAGCUUCUGCUGAAGGCUAUUUUCUUCCUUGUAUUCUGCAGUGACCAGGCAUAUGGCAGAUAAUCAACAAAUACAGGCAUCCCUGAAGAGGGUAUCCUGGGAUAAAAGCCCCAGCUGGAUCAGUGCUAUACAGGGGCCAACUGGGGGUGGGUUCCAGGCAGGGUCAUUUGCAAGGGUCCCUCUGCCCCUUCAAGUCCUGCCAGACAGGCCUUGGCCAUGGUUUCUUCCUGCCCCUGUCCCCUGACCACAGUUGAUCUCCCCUGGCUGUUAUGAAAUGUCAAAGAAUGUCCUGCAAUCCUAAAUUCCAUAAUGAUCUUUAUCUUCUGUUCCCUCUGAGGCUCCUCAAUCUGCAGUAACAGCUGUGGUUCAGCAAGCAGUGCGGCACUCUGGAGUGCUGUUCUGAAACAGGGCCGGCGUGGGGCAGAGCUCAUCUGCUGCCCUAUCCAUUCACUGUGCUGUUCGGGGCUAGAGAAGAUUCAUGUGUGUAUAUGCUUUUUAAAAAUUGUGAAACAAUAAUUAUGCAGAAAAAUACAUAGAAUAUAUGUUCAGUUUAACAAAUAAUCAUAAAGCAAAUCUCUAUAAAACCACUGCUGCUCUGCAGUGACCCCUGCUUCCCCCUAAGUCGUGCAUAACAAUAGCUACAAUUUACUGACCAUGAACUUCAGGUCACACAGCAAAGGUGUUCUCAUUUAAUCUUUGGCCACCAGAGGCUGCAUAGACUAAAAUGUGAACAGUGUCCCCUGCAGUUGUGGAGUGUGGUGACCCUAUUGGAUCUUCUCAUGCCACUGAGGGAUAUACUGUUUUCUGUAGAGAAGUCCAGCAGAGUCACUGUCCUGGGGGGCAUCCUUCUUGAUCGCCCCCAUGCCAUGAAGGCCCAUUCCUUGCCCAGGGCUCUAGAGUCUGAGCUUCUCCAAGAGGGAAUGGAGUCUUUCGCAGAGGGGCUGUGGAGCCUCGUAAGGCUGAAUCUAACCACGAGCAGGGAUUUUGGGCAGCUGCAUAUCCCAGAUGGUUUCCCAGUGGAUCAGCUUCCUGUUGCUGCUCUAAUAAACUAACAUAAACUUAGGGGCUUAAAACAACACAAAUUUCUUUUCUUAUAGUUCCGUAGGUCAGAAGUCCAAAACAGGUCUCACUGGGCUAAACUGAAGGUGUCAGCAGGGCUGCAUUCCUUCCUGGGGGCUCUAGUAGAGAAUCUCUUUCCUUUCUUCCCCUUUCCAGCUUUUAGAGGCUGCCUGCAUUCCUUGGCCUGCGGCCCCUUCCUCCACCUUCAAAGCCAGCACUGGCUGGCCAGGUCUUUCAUAUAUUGCAAUCUCUCUGCUUCUGCUUCUGCUUCUGACCCUUCUGCCUCUCUCUUCUCCAUUUAAGAAUGCUUGUGAUUACAUUGGGCUCACCCACCCCAGUUUCUACCCAAUAAUCCAGGGUAAUCUCCCAAACUUAAAGAGAGAAAACAAUACUAGCACCCCCAAAGCACCUACGUGUUCCCCUACUAAUCACAACCCCAACCCUCCCUUCUGCAUAAGUAGACAUUUGUAAUAAUUCUGUGCUUUUUGUAGUUUGACCUCCUCUGCAUGUAUCCUUAACAAUACAGUUUUGCCAGCUGUUAAAUUUUUGCUAAAAG